rnacentral:rRNA from 1 species
UACGUAGGCAGCAAGCGUUGUUCGGAGUUCCUGGGCGUAAAGGGUGCGUAGGUGGCUCUAUAAGUAUGGUGUGAAAUCUCCCGGCUUAACUGGGAGGGUGCGCCGUAGACUGUGGGGCUAGAGUGUGGGAGAGGAAAGUGGAAUUCCUGGUGUAGCGGUGAAAUGCGUAGAUAUCAGGAGGAACACCGGUGGUGUAAACGGCUUUCUGGACCAUAACUGACACUGAGGCACGAAAGCGUGGGUAGCAAACAGG